UUUAAUUGCUUUUUUUUUCUAUUGUUUUUUUUAUGAGAUGGUUACAGAUUGGAGGUGGUGGUGAUGUGUGUUGGUUAUGGUAGAUGGUGACAGUGAUGUUUUUUUUCUUUCCAAUUUAUAGACGGAUGAAUCCACUGCAAUCUGAAAACCCCAACAUUUAACACUUAUUUUUAGUUCUGUAUUAUGUUUAGUUUUAAUCUUGCAUGUUUGAAAUCCUCCAUGAAAUUGGAUCUUUGGAUGUCAAUAAACUCAGGUGACUAGAAAAAUCUCAUCUCUCUUUCAAACUGUUUUCGUUUUGUAAAUGUCAAUUGCUAAUUGGUCAAUGUGAUUUUUGAAGAAAUUUGGGUUAAACCCGUGUUCUAGGACAUGGCUCCACUA
rnacentral:lncRNA from 1 species